AUCACAGAUAGUUUUUGUCAUUUGUCCAUUGACUGUCUGCAUCUGAUGUGAGGGAACAGAGAAUGUGUCUGUUUUGGCAAAAGCAUCUGAUACAUAUUUACUUUUUUAAUCUGAAAAAGGUGUUUAAAUACAAAUCUGUAAGGAUGAUGCUACAGAUUAUCCAUAAGUAUGCAAAAUAUCUCUUAGGAAGUUUUAAUCUCACAAGCCAUGAUGUGUGUGUAAUGAUGUUUUUCACCAAGUUUCAUUUUUGUUGUAAUUACAGAAACUCUGAGAUGUGUUUUAGAUCUUUUUGUCUCAUAAACACUUGAAUGUGAUCCAGACUUUUCUGGUAAAUUUACCAGAAGUCUGCCUUUCCCUGAGGCUGAGCUAAUUGGUCAGCAAGAUGUGGUACCAAAGCAGCACAGCAUACAGCACAGCAUUUAGAUCUGGUUUUCUGUCUUUAGAUUGGACUGGUUUAGAUGAAGAUGAAGAUGCACAUGUCUGGGAAGACAAUUGGGAUGAUGACAAUGUAGAAGAUGAUUUCUCCAAUCAGUUAAGAGCUGAAUUAGAAAAACAUGGAUACAAGAUGGAAACAUCAUAGUUUUUGCAGAAAAUGGAGUGGUUUAACACUGAACUGUGGAUAGACUUUAUUAAGAAAAGAAGAUGGAAAGUGAGAAGACACACUUAGUUCAUUAUCUGCUUGGAUUUAUUAUUGUUUUGUAUAAAAAAUAAAGUUUUUAAUCUUAGCCUAGUCAUACAUUCAGCCUCUACUCAUCUGGUACCUUGUAGUUUGGUUCUGAAAUGACUUGUGUGGUGGAAUUCAUGGACCUGCCUGGAAUGCCUCUAAUGGUCUGUCGGUGGCUGAUGCUCUUGCACCUGUCCUGGGGAGCUAAACAGGUGUAACUAGAAUGAAGACUAGUGAAUGUUGCUGUCAUAGGAAAUAAAAUACUUGUGUGUUCCAAUUAAAUUGCAGCAGAGAUAGAAUGCAGUUUUAGGGAGUGAUACAGCUUGUUUUGCCUCUGCAUUUUAUUUUAUAAUGACUUGGGAUUUUUUUCAUAGUCAUUUCAUGUGAGUGCUGGCUUAAUAAAACAGACUUCAAAGUGUCUUGCAA